rnacentral:rRNA from 1 species
UACGUAGGGUGCAAGCGUUGUCCGGAAUUAUUGGGCGUAAAGAGCUCGUAGGCGGUCUGUCACGUCGGCUGUGAAAACCCGGGGCUUAACCCCGGGCCUGCAGUCGAUACGGGCAGACUAGAGUGCGGUAGGGGAGACUGGAAUUCCUGGUGUAGCGGUGAAAUGCGCAGAUAUCAGGAGGAACACCGGUGGCGAAGGCGGGUCUCUGGGCCGUAACUGACGCUGAGGAGCGAAAGCGUGGGGAGCGAACAGG